GGUCCCUCGAGGGUCUUGGGGAUCCCGGAUGAGCCCCCAAAUGUUAUGCCCAGAUUUCAAGAUCCCCAAUAGACCACACUAGGGAACCAGCUGAGUCCGAUGCAAAAGCAGAGA
ensembl:miRNA